rnacentral:tRNA from 1 species
GAAAUAUAUUUUUAUAGAACUUCUAAUUCUUUAUAUAAUGAUUUUCAUUAAUAUUUCU